rnacentral:lncRNA from 1 species
GUAAGUAAGAAACUUCUCUCCUCUUUUCUCACAAUGUGCGCUCACCUAGACGGCCGGGCAGUUAGGAUCGUCUAUUGGAUGUGAAACCAGAGAUGCCCGCCAACCUGGAAUAGAGAGUGAUCCACUCGCUUCGGCCUCCCAAAGUGCUGGGAUUAUAGGCGUGAGCCACUGUGCCCAGCCUCACAGCUGCAUCUUAACCUUACCUUUGCCUCUGCCUCUCAAGCUGGUACCUCCUAAUUUACAUCCUAAGAGUGGAACCAUGUGACAAGGACUGGAGUGCCAUUGGCUGUGGACUGUUCAGGCAGGGAAGUACAAGACCACUCUUGUAUUCAGGGGCAACCAAAGGAGAGAAUUACGUACUUGUUGAGUACAAACUGCACCAAGCCCUGGAGACCCAUUACCACCGUUAACCCUCAAUACAGCUCUGCUAGUAAGGGAUUCGUCUCCCCAAAUGAAAAAAAAAAGUAAUCUCAGAAUGUUGGCCGAGCAUGGUGGCUCACACCUGUAAUCCCAGUUAUGCAGGAGGCUGAGGCAGGAGAAUCACUUGAUCUCAGGAGGCGGAGGUUGCAGUGAGUCGACAUCACACCACUGCACUCCAGCCUGGGGGACAGAGUGAGACUUCGUCUCGG